rnacentral:rRNA from 1 species
GACGAACGCUGGCGGCGCGCCUAACACAUGCAAGUCGAACGGAGCUGAGAGAAGCUUGCUUUUCUUAGCUUAGUGGCGAACGGGUGAGUAACGCGUGAGUAACCUGCCCUGGAGUGGGGGACAACAGGUGGAAACGACUGCUAAUACCGCAUAAGCCCACGAUCCGGCAUCGGGUUGAGGGAAAAGGAUUUAUUCGCUUCAGGAUGGACUCGCGUCCAAUUAGCUAGUUGGUGAGGUAACGGCCCACCAAGGCGACGAUUGGUAGCCGGACUGAGAGGUUGAACGGCCACAUUGGGACUGAGACACGGCCCAGACUCCUACGGGAGGCAGCAGUGGGGGAUAUUGCACAAUGGGGGAAACCCUGAUGCAGCGACGCCGCGUGGAGGAAGAAGGUUUUCGGAUUGUAAACUCCUGUCGUUAGGGACGAUAAUGACGGUACCUAACAAGAAAGCACCGGCUAACUACGUG